AAGUCGUAACAAGGUUUCCGUAGGUGAACCUGCGGAAGGAUCAUUAAAAGUGAUUGGUUAUACAUUUCAUGUAUCAACUGCAUUAACCCAUUCCGAGUACCUUGCCUGUUGCUUCCAUGGGGCCUGACCUAGGUCACUCUUGUGAUGUGAAACCCAAGAGAGUCCCCAUGGGAGGUAACUAUCAUAUAUCAUCAUUUCUGACUGAUUGUUAACAAAUGUUAAAA
rnacentral:misc_RNA from 1 species